UUUUCAGCAGCAGUCCCGGAAAAGGAUCCCACUGGCCAGGAAGUUUCAUCUGGGAUCCCCAGAGCCUCGGCAAUGGCUCCAGGGUGACUUCUUGGAUCAUCCCCGUUUCCCCGCCCUACCCAAGCGGCUGAAAAGCGCCGGGACGCGCGGUCCGAGCCGGGAAAAUGGGCCCGCGAGCCCGGCCGGCGCUUCUCCUCUUGAUCCUCCUGCGGACUGCGGCCACGCAGGGGCGACCGCCGCGGUCACACUCCCUGCACUUCCUCUUCAUGGGCGCCUCCAAGCCAGACCUCGGGCUGCCCCUGUUUGAGGCUUUGGGCUACGUGGAUGACCAGCUGUUCGUGUCCUAUGAUCAUGAGAGUCGCCGUGCAGAGCGGCGCGCCCCAUGGCUCUGGAGCAGGGCCACCAGCCAGCUGUGGCUUCAGCUGAGUCAGAAUCUGAAAGGCUGGGACCACAUGUUCAUCGUGGACUUCUGGACAAUCAUGGACAACCACAACCAGAGCAAGGUAACGAAGCUGGGGGCGAUGCCAGAGUCCCACACCCUGCAGGUGAUCCUGGGCUGUGAGUUGCAAGAGGACAACAGCACCAGAGGGUUCUGGAAGUACGGGUACGAUGGGCAGGACCAUCUUGAAUUCCGGCCUGAGACACUGGAUUGGAGAGCAGCAGAGCCCGGGGCCCAGGUCACCAAGCUGGAGUGGGAAGUGAACAAGAUUCGGGCCAAACAGAACAGGGCCUACCUGGAUCGGGAUUGCCCCGAGCAGCUGCUGCAUUUGCUGGAGCUGGGGAGAGGGCCUCUGGAGCAGCAAGUGCCUCCUUUGGUGAAAGUGACUCAUCACGUGACCUCUUCACUGACCACUCUUCGGUGUCGGGCUCUGAACUUCUACCCCCAGAACAUCACCAUUAGGUGGCUGAAGGACAAGCAGUUCCUGGAUGCCAAGGACGUUAAGCCAGAGGAUGUGUUGCCCAAUGGGGACGGGACCUACCAGGCCUGGGUGGCCUUGGCCAUGCUCCCUGGGGAAGAGCAGAGAUACAGCUGCCAAGUGGAGCACCCAGGCCUGGAUCAGCCCCUCACUGCCACCUGGGAGCCCUCACUGUCUGGUACCCUGGUCACUGGAAUCCUCAGUGGGAUUGCUGUUUGCGUCAUCAUCUUCCUUAUUGGAAUUUUGUUCAGAAUCUUAAAGAGACGGCAGUCUUCGAGUGAGUAGGAAGAAGGAGGAAGCCUCUUAGCACCAUGGCGCCCAGGACACUCUCAUCUUCCUGCAGAAAGUGUGGCAGGAGGAGCCGCUGUCAACUAUGCCUUAGCCGAAUGUGAAUGAAGGGCAGCCUGCAGACCCUUGUGGGGCGGAGACAGAACUCAAGACUCAGGGAACACGUGGCCUUAUGGCAUUCUUCAUGCUCAGGACAAUUGGAGCUAAGAAAUGGGAACCGUCUCAGGAACUAUCUGCUCUUAGCCUUCCUUAUUCACUCUUGAAAAGUUCACCAUCUAGGUUUCUGAGUUCCUGCUUGUUAAAGGGCCCCAGCUGUGACUUCUGCCCCAGAAGCGGCUUUCCUGAAUCCCAGGCUACAUUUAGAACCUACAUUGAUUUCCUGCAUCACCUCAGACUUCAUACACCUACAUCAUCUCAUCUCCUAACUGUGGAACGAGGUUCCUUAAAUCUGGGGGUGGGGGUAGGGGGAGAGGGUUGCUCGUGAUUCCUUUAAACCUCUGAGAAUAGCUUUGAACCUUCUCCUUAGGUCAUACACUCUAAUGCCUCUAUCAGAAUUUGACACACACAUCCAGGCAAUUCCUAGACCCAUUCAAGUUUCCUUUUAACCCUUCCUCUGUUAUUGAGAACUCACCUGUCACCAAGCCCUGUGGUCUCUUCCAUCAGAAGGAGAUCUGGACUGUUGUACAGCCGUGAAGGCUGUGCAUCGCACAACCCGAGCAGACACCUUUUGCAGAAGAGGCAUCCUUUCCUGGAUGUUUGUGCCUAUUAGGAUAGUCUUCUCUAAAAUGGGUGGGAAGUGUCUUGGGGAAGGAUAUCUUUUUUAAAUUUGAGCAAAGGUGCCAUGUGGGAUUCCUUAGAUUAAUGACACCUGCACUUUUGCAGUACCUCUUCUGUAUGCCAGACUUGAAGUAGCACAGGAUUUGAUCUCUGCUCACACCAUCUCCUUGUUCUGAUAAUGAAAAUGAUAAUUAAGAUGAUGAUGAUAAGGAUAAGGUGGCUGACAUUUUAAAAGCUCUUACGUGGUGCCAGACUUAGUUCUCUGAGUGCCCAUUUACAUGUAUUAUCUCGUAUAGUUCUUACAAUAGUUCUUUGACAUCAGUACUAUUAUCCCCCCUCUUUUUUUUUAAAGAUGAAGAAAGUGAAGUUUAAUAUAGAGUAUCUCACAGCUUGCCAGGGACAGAGAUAGGUGUCAAACUCAGUCAGGCUGGCUCUUUGAUCCAGCUCCUUGCUCCUGCAUUCAGAUGAUCAGAUACUUGGACUAAGUGGGGAAAGAAGGAGAUGGCUGUGGAGAUGGCUCUUCUCUUGUCUCAUUGUCUGUAUACUCAGUGACUUUGAUUCAAGUGAAGGGAAAAACAUCAAAAAACAUCUCGGCCAUGUUUCCUUUCAAAGUUCCUGAGGGAAGAACCCUGGAAUGUGACCUCUAACUUCUCCAUUGCCACACUGGCCAGUUCUGUCUGGCAGCACUCAUGGGAUUGAGAUUGGGAGGGUUGGUUGGUUACUGUGUUGGACCUCACAGAGUCCUGCUCCAAUCAGGGCCACUAGGGUGUAGGCAUUUCCCUCCAUAAACUGGAGCAACUCCUCUCAUAUUAAAGCUGGAAAAAUAGAAAUAUAUAUAUAUACACAUAUAUAUGUGUAUAUAUACACACACACACCAAAUAACUCAUGUUUAUUUCAUGCUGCUAUGUACAACUGGUGGCAUAACUAUGUUCAAGGCUCUGUCUUGGAGAUCAGAGGGCAGGUGCCUCAGACCAAAUACAGCACAGAAGUUUGUUUGGUAAGUACUAAAUUUGGGCACAAAUAUCUCAACUAUUUUAAACUUUUCUUUUUUUCUGGUUAUGAAAGUUAAGUGGAUAAAAGUACAUAGAAUUUGUGCUUACUACAGAAAAGUUUAAAAUGAGUUGAAUUGAAACUUUCCUUCCAUUAGCCAAAGCUAACUCUAUUAACAGUUUGUGUAUUUCUUCUCAGUAUUGUUGCUAUAUUAAAAUACAUAAAAUUAUCAAAUGCAUAGAUUUUAAUAAAUACAUAAUUAAUUGUA